AUCUAAAUAGUUUAAGAAAAAUAAAAGAUUGUGAUUCUUUCGAUAUAUUUAUAUUUUAGAUA
rnacentral:tRNA from 1 species